GUAGCUGCAGGUGCGGAGCUGCCGGCCGGGCGGCAGCGGCCAGCCGCGAGCAUGAGGAGCUGGUGUCUGUGUCAGAUCUGCACCUGCGGGUAAGGAACGCGCAGCGUGGCGGCGGGCGGGGCGCGGGUGGCCGGAGCCCCUUGGUGGCCGCCCCCCGGAGAUGAUGGGACGUGGAAGCGGCGACCGCACUCCCCGGGUCCGCACCAGCCGGCUCCCGGGUGAAACAGUUCUGCUCUUAGACUCCCUGGCCAGGUGCACACUGAACGCCGGCCGGCUGGGCGGAGGACGCUUGCGCGGGAGCGGCGGGUCCAGAGCCUGCUAAGGGGUGCGAUCAGAUCCCGCUGGGAGAGUGCAUGCCCCCAAAAUCUUAGGGGGAAGGAAGGAAUAGGAAUAGGACGAUCUGCAAGUCCAUGAACUCUCAGCCCGCGCCACGCUUUCUUCCAUCUCCAGCUUUCCAUCCAAGCCUGGCUGUAGCCCCAUUCCCCUCCAAGCAGUGCCCCUUGGGGAUCUGACCGACCGAGAUGGGAGCAGUCUCCACCCUGAAACCCAGAAUUGGUCUGUGGGUCCCUGCGUGACAACCUCCCAUUGCCUGUAAACACAGUCUUCUUCCGCGGAGUCACUCUUGGCCCCACGGAUUCGAUCACUGUUUGCUAAAGAAACAUUAUGAGCAUGUGGAUUCCACGGAAUCCAUGAGUGACCAUGUAACAGGAAGUGAGUGGAGCGGUAUAAAUUAAAUCUUUCUGUGUUGGGAUUUGAAAGUUAGUAAAUCUAAGCGGAUAAAUCAAGAUGUUAAAAGCUCAUUAAAAAAAAAAGAAAGAAAGAAAAGAAAAAAUGAAAACGCAGAUGUAGCCUCCAGAAAAACUAAAAAGCAGAGAUGAUCGUCAGAAAGUAGUUUCUAGAGACUGGAAACGUUGGGAGAACGGGCUUUUCCGGUUUCCUUUAUAAGCUUUUCAGCUUGUUUUGUUACAAUGUGAAUGUAUGCCUUGCAUGAGAAAUAAAACUAAGAAUAAUGAGAAACUCCAGAGCUUGGACUUGAUUCUUGUAACUCAGUGCACCUGUAUCAGAACCUCCAUGCAUGACCUAUGUUCCCCGUCCCUGAUUGUUCCAAGAGACCAUCUGUGAUCCUAAAUCACUUUAGGACUUUCCCGAAGCCUCCACUGUCAGCCAGUAAUCUCGAAUCUCUCCACUCCUCUGACUUUGAAUUUUGAAUAGCCCAUGACACCACCUCUCCACCCUUCCGCACACUGCAAUCCUUCCUGCUGUCCAGCAACCUCCAUGCAAAACAGCUGAUCUCUCUUAUGUUCUUCCCCGGGGGUUCACGGAGUCUAGAUAUCCUCGCCGGUUCUGACUCAUCUACAGAGUGUAUGUGUUUUCUUCAACCUUACCUGGGCUUGGAUUAGUAGUCCUCACACAUAGCCUGGAGCCCCAAAUGAUAUGAGACCCGAGGAGCUGAUUUUUCCUUUUUGUUUGCUUGGAUUUUUAUGUUUGUUUUGUUAAGAACUUUAUCUUUUUUUUUCUGAUUAUGAAAUGAAUAUACAUGAGGCAUUGUAUGAACAUGCAAGGCAAAAAAUCUAGAAUAUAGUGAAAAUCCCUCAUCAUCCUAGUCCUAGAAAUAAUAAAUGUUCUUUAAGACUUGUUUUUGCAUUCUUUAGAAGGAAAGAGAAAUAGAGUGUAUUAUACAUACUGUUCCGCAACCCACUUUUUCACUGUUUACAGUCUCCGCGUCUGGCAACGGCCACGCCUUAAGAUCAACCCUAUUCUCUUUAACAACUACCUGCUAUUAGCUUAUAUGAUAUAUUGGCCAGGGCUAUUAGUCAUGGACAAUCUAAUCUACUCUUGCCUAGUCGAGGCAUAAAAGAAUUUAUUAAGGAGUAUAUGCAGCUCACAGAAUUGUUGGAAGAACGGAAGAAACAGUUUUCAAAAUAAGCUUUUCAGGAAAAAUUCCCAAAAACUCUCACCUCAGAACUGGGCUGCCAAGGGAGCCACUGCCCCUGCCAAUACCCAGGAAACAGCAACAGAGCAGCGGGCUUCAAAACCACUCCUUCCUGCCGAACCACCCUUUCCUGCUGAAGCUGCCAGACAGGAAGCCACCUUGCAAACCAGAAGGCUGCCUGACGCCUGCCUCCUCCAGCCUCUCUGUGCCUCUACCACAACCCUGCAACCUCUCUCCCUGGGUAGCGCUCUCUGAGAGCAUCAGCUGAGCACACCCCACAGUUGAAAGCUAAAUUGUACAUGGGGCCUGCCUGCCAAGAGCCUGAGAAAUGUUAGCUUUUCAGCUUCUUAGUAUAAGAAGACACCCCAGGGGCACCUGGGUGGCUCGGUCAGUUAAGCGUCUGACUUCACUUCAGGUCAUGAUCUCACCGUUGGUGAGUUCAAGCCCCGCGUCCGGCUCUCCACUGACAGCUCUGAGCCCAGAGCCUGCUUCAGAUAUAGCGUCUCCCUCUCUCUCUGCCCCUCUCCUGCUCGUGCUCUGUCUCUCGAAAAUAAGUAAACAUUAACAAAGUAAAAUAAAAAAGACACUCUAAAUCAUUGUCAGAGGAAAUACCAUAAUUUUUUCCACCAUGAAGGAUAUACCAUAAUUUAUUCAUUAUUUUUGUAAACACCAUUGCAGAAUAAACAGGUUUUUUGUGUGUUCGUGUGUAUUAGUAAAGCUUCUUUUAAAUUUAGAGAUUGUGUGUUUAUCGAAGUUCUCUGGUUAAGAUGCAGUUAUAUAAAAUAUUUUUGAAAGCCAAAAUAAUCUUUCAGUUUAUUUAUGUUUGCACAGGAGGCAUCAUUGUCCACACGGAACCACAAGGAUUUAUGAAAAUUCUGGCACAUCCUGCCCCACAACUGAAUAUUUGGAAAAAUAUCCUACAUAUGGCAAUGUUCCUCCACCUCAGAGUCUGAAGCCCAAGCAAGAAUUUCGAGCAUGCCGUGGUAAAAUGGAAGGAAUAACGACAUUUAAGUAAAUAUUCAGAAACUAUUUGCUCUACUUUUCUCCAACUCUUCUGGGC
rnacentral:lncRNA from 1 species